rnacentral:rRNA from 1 species
CGUAGACUCCUACGGGAGGCAGCAGUGGGGAAUAUUGCACAAUGGGCGCAAGCCUGAUGCAGCCAUGCCGCGUGUAUGAAGAAGGCCUCGGGUUGUAAAGUACUUUCAGCAGUGAGGAAGGUGGGUAUGUUAAUAGCAUACUCAUUUGACGUUAGCUGCAGAAGAAGCACCGGCUAACUCCGUGCCAGCAGCCGCGGUAAUACGGAGGAUCCAAGCGUUAUCCGGAAUCAUUGAGUUUAAAGGGUCCGUAGGUGGAUGAUUAAGUCAGAGGUGAAAUCCUGCAGCUCAACUGUAGAAUUGCCUUUGAUACUGGUUGUCUUGAAUUAUUGUGAAGUAGUUAGAAUAUGUGGUGUAGCGGUGAAAUGCAUAGAUAUCACAUAGAAUACCGAUUGCGAAGGCAGAUUACUAACAAUACAUUGACACUGAUGGACGAAAGCGUGGGGAGCGAACAGGAUUAGAUACCCUGGUAG